GAAGUUAGCAGAACCAAUUUCUAUGCCACGUUUAGUAAAUCGUAUGCGAUCUCCAGCGCAUCUGCGUAAACAAUUUCAGCACACUUUCUAUAUUGCACACUACGUUAGCAAACGAAACUCUGGCCGAAACACAAUUACUGAAAUAUAGCGCUUCUCCUUAUUUUUGCAUUGUUCGAAGUAAAUAAAGUAAUCUCAGUAUGUCUAAUUACUGAACUAUAGCGAAAAUAAUGUUAUUAAAUGCUUUACAGAAAACAACGCGAUCCCCUUAUAUGCAGUUACCGAUUGUUUGCACUACCCAAAACAGGAAGCAGUAAUUUCAGCAGAGGUCCCAAUUGCAAACAAGAAUUGUGUAAUCCGAGACGGCUUUGAGGCAACCGGGAAUGCAUGCUCCAUGUGAUUUUUGCUUAAAGAAAACAACACGGCAAGUCCUUGGCCCACACCCCUGGCCUUCCCCUCCCGAUGAAGUGAUUUUCGUUUUCGAGACGAUGGUGUUCAAGGCCCAAAAUCGUACAUUGCAAGCUCUUUCGCUGAAAACGAUGCAAAUGCACUGGUUCAAAUUUCUUUCCCACCUAAAUCAUCUCGUGGAAACGCUGAGUGCUUUAAAGUUUUCUUGUUUACAUUGCAAUUUCGCAACACUGACAUUUUCCUCUUCUAUACGCAAUCAAUGUCAAAUUUGCUACAUUUUUUUUAAAUGUCACUAAUGUCAUACUCGGCUUGAGCGGCGUCCUGAGACUUGCAAUCCACACGUCUGUAUCGAAACAAUAUUGGUAACGUGCAAUCCCUGAACCCUCUUUACUUUACAUCGGGCCACAUUCCGUCUGAGCUGAGGAAUGUCAUGUUUGCGUGCUUUACUCCCUUUCAGUCAAAAUUGUGACUCAAAAGAAACAGUCACAAAAUUGGUCUGAGGAGUCGCCAUACAUAUAUAUACAGGGUACCCAUA